rnacentral:rRNA from 1 species
AGAGUUUGAUCAUGGCUCAGAUUGAAUGCUGGCGGAAGGCUUAACACAUGCAAGUCGAGGGGCAGCGGAUUGGUAGCAAUACUGAAGACGGCGACCGGCGGACGGGUGAGUAGUGCAUAGGAAUCUGCCUUUUAAUGGGGGAUAGCUCGGAGAAAUUCGAAUUAAUACCGCAUAAAGCCUAAGGGUGAAAGGAUGGGGCA